rnacentral:rRNA from 1 species
CCUACGGGUGGCAGCAGUGAGGAAUAUUGGUCAAUGGCCGGAAGGCUGAACCAGCCAUGCCGCGUGAAGGUCAGUGCCCUAUGGGCGUUAAACUUCUUUUGUGCGGGAGCAAUAAUGGUCACGUGUGGCCAGACGAGAGUACCGUACGAAUAAGCAUCGGCUAACUCCGUGCCAGCAGCCGCGGUAAUACGGGGGAUGCAAGCGUUAUCCGGAUUUAUUGGGUUUAAAGGGUGCGUAGGCUGUGAGGUAAGUCAGCGGUGAAAUGCCCCCGCUCAACGGGGUGAAGUGCCAUUGAUACUGCCUUGCUGGAAGGCGGAUGCCGUGGGAGGAAGGUGUGGUGGAGCGGUGAAAUGCAUAGAGAUCACACAGAACACCGAUUGCGAAGGCAGCUCACGAAUCCGCGAUUGACGCUGAUGCACGAAAGCGUGGGUAUCAAACAGGAUUAGAUACCCCAGUAGUC